rnacentral:rRNA from 1 species
CGCUGGCGGCGUGCCUAACACAUGCAAGUCGAACGGAGUUAAGCGCUGAAAAUGAGAUUAGCUUGCUAAAGGAUUUUUCUUGUUUAACUUAGUGGCGGACGGGUGAGUAACGCGUGAGCAACCUGCCUUACAGAGGGGGACAACAGUUGGAAACGACUGCUAAUACCGCAUAAAGCCUGAGGGUGAAAGCAGCAAUGCGCUAUCAGAUGUGCCCAAACGGGAUUAGCUAGUAGGUGAGGUAAAGGCUCACCUAGGCGACGAUCUCUAGCUGGUCUGAGAGGAUGAUCAGCCACAUUGGGACUGAGACACGGCCCAGACUCCUACGGGAGGCAGCAGUAGGGAAUAUUGCACAAUGGAGGAAACUCUGAUGCAGCCAUGCCGCGUGUGUGAAGAAGGCCUUCGGGUUGUAAAGCACUUUCGGAGGGGAGGAAAAGAUGACGUUACCCUCAGAAGAAGCACCGGCUAACUCCGUG